GGCGGACGGGUGAGUAAUACAUAGGUAAUCUACCUUCGAGCUUGGGAUAACCCCGCGAAAGUGGGGCUAAUACCGGAUAAGACCACGUAACCAUGUUACGGGGUAAAAGGUGGCUUAUUUUUUAAAUGAGCUAUCACUUGAGGAUGAGCCUGUGGCCUAUCAGCUUGUUGGCGGGGUAAGAGCCCACCAAGGCUAUGACGGGUAACUGGUCUGAGAGGACGACCAGUCACACUGGGACUGAGACACGGCCCAGACUCCUACGGGAGGCAGCAGUGGGGAAUAUUGGGCAAUGGGCGAAAGCCUGACCCAGCGACGCCGCGUGGGCGAUGAAGGCCUUCGGGUUGUAAAGCCCUGUCAUGCGGAAAGAACGACCCUGAGACGCAUACUCUCAGGGAGUGACGGUACCGCAGGAGGAAGCACCGGCUAACUCCGUGCCAGCAGCCGCGGUAAUACGGAGGGUGCAAGCGUUGUUCGGAAUUAUUGGGCGUAAAGGGCGCGUAGGCGGUAAUGCAAGUCAGAUGUGAAAUACUCCGGCUCAACUGGGGAACUGCAUCUGAAACUGCAUAACUAGAGUACAG
rnacentral:rRNA from 1 species